AGUGAACGCUGGCGGCAGGCCUAACACAUGCAAGUCGAGCGGCAGCGCGUCCGACCACCCUCGGGUGGUCGGAUGGCGGCGAGCGGCGGACGGGUGAGGAAUGCAUCGGAAUCUGCCUCGUUGUGGGGGAUAACGUAGGGAAACUUACGCUAAUACCGCAUACGACCUACGGGUGAAAGUGGGGGACCUUCGGGCCUCACGCGAUGAGAUGAGCCGAUGCCGGAUUAGCUAGUUGGCGGGGUAAAGGCCCACCAAGGCGACGAUCCGUAGCUGGUCUGAGAGGAUGAUCAGCCACACUGGAACUGAGACACGGUCCAGACUCCUACGGGAGGCAGCAGUGGGGAAUAUUGGACAAUGGGGGCAACCCUGAUCCAGCCAUGCCGCGUGUGUGAAGAAGGCCUUC
rnacentral:rRNA from 1 species